AACGAACGCUGGCGGCAUGCCUAACACAUGCAAGUCGAACGAGACCUUCGGGUCUAGUGGCGCACGGGUGCGUAACGCGUGGGAACCUGCCCUUAGGUUCGGAAUAACUCCCCGAAAGGGGUGCUAAUACCGGAUAAUGUCUUCGGACCAAAGAUUUAUCGCCUUUGGAUGGGCCCGCGUUGGAUUAGCUAGUUGGUAGGGUAAAAGCCUACCAAGGCGACGAUCCAUAGCUGGUCUGAGAGGAUGAUCAGCCACACUGGGACUGAGACACGGCCCAGACUCCUACGGGAGGCAGCAGUGGGGAAUAUUGGACAAUGGGCGAAAGCCUGAUCCAGCAAUGACGCGUGAGUGAUGAAGGCCUUAGGGUUGUAAAGCUCUUUUACCCGGGAUGAUAAUGACAGUACCGGGAGAAUAAGCCCCGGCUAACUACGUG
rnacentral:rRNA from 1 species